rnacentral:rRNA from 1 species
AUUGAACGCUGGCGGCAGGCCUAACACAUGCAAGUCGAGCGGAUGAAGGGAGCUUGCUCCUGGAUUCAGCGGCGGACGGGUGAGUAAUGCCUAGGAAUCUGCCUGGUAGUGGGGGAUAACGUCCGGAAACGGGCGCUAAUACCGCAUACGUCCUGAGGGAGAAAGUGGGGGAUCUUCGGACCUCACGCUAUCAGAUGAGCCUAGGUCGGAUUAGCUAGUUGGUGGGGUAAAGGCCUACCAAGGCGACGAUCCGUAACUGGUCUGAGAGGAUGAUCAGUCACACUGGAACUGAGACACGGUCCAGACUCCUACUGGAGGCAGCAGUGGGGAAUAUUGGACAAUGGGCGAAAGCCUGAUCCAGCCAUGCCGCGUGUGUGAAGAAGGUCUUCGGAUUGUAAAGCACUUUAAGUUGGGAGGAAGGGCAGUAAGUUAAUACCUUGCUGUUUUGACGUUACCAACAGAAUAAGCACCGGCUAACUUCGUG